rnacentral:rRNA from 1 species
GACGAACGCUGGCGGCGUGCUUAACACAUGCAAGUCGUACGGUAAGGCCCUUUCGGGGGUACACGAGUGGCGCACGGGUGAGUAACACGUGAGUAACCUGCCCACAACUUUGGGAUAACGCUAGGAAACUGGUGCUAAUACUGGAUAUGUUCUCCUGCUGCAUGGUGGGGGUUGGAAAGCUCCGGCGGUUGUGGAUGGACUCGCGGCCUAUCAGCUUGUUGGUGGGGUAGUGGCCUACCAAGGCGGCGACGGGUAGCCGGCCUGAGAGGGUGACCGGCCACAUUGGGACUGAGAUACGGCCCAGACUCCUACGGGAGGCAGCAGUGGGGAAUAUUGCACAAUGGGCGCAAGCCUGAUGCAGCAACGCCGCGUGCGGGAUGACGGCCUUCGGGUUGUAAACCGCUUUCAGCAGGGACGAAGCUUUUUGUGACGGUACCUGCAGAAGAAGCACCGGCUAACUACGUG